GAUGAACGCUGGCGGCGUGCCUAAUACAUGCAAGUCGAGCGAAUGGAUUAAGAGCUUGCUCUUAUGAAGUUAGCGGCGGACGGGUGAGUAACACGUGGGUAACCUGCCCAUAAGACUGGGAUAACUCCGGGAAACCGGGGCUAAUACCGGAUAACAUUUUGAACCGCAUGGUUCGAAAUUGAAAGGCGGCUUCGGCUGUCACUUAUGGAUGGACCCGCGUCGCAUUGGCUAGUUGGUGAGGUAACGGCUCACCAAGGCAACGAUGCGUAGCCGACCUGAGAGGGUGAUCGGCCACACUGGGACUGAGACACGGCCCAGACUCCUACGGGAGGCAGCAGUAGGGAAUCUUCCGCAAUGGACGAAAGUCUGACGGAGCAACGCCGCGUGAGUGAUGAAGGCUCUCGGGUCGUAAAACUCUGUUGUUAGGGAAGAACAAGUGCUAGUUGAAUAAGCUGGCACCUUGACGGUACCUAACCAGAAAGCCACGGCUAACUACGUGCCAGCAGCCGCCGGUAA
rnacentral:rRNA from 1 species